AACGAACGCUGGCGGCAGGCCUAACACAUGCAAGUCGAACGCUCCGCAAGGGGAGUGGCAGACGGGUGAGUAACACGUGGGAACCUUCCCAUCGCUACGGAAUAGCUCAGGGAAACUUGGGGUAAUACCGUAUACGCCCGAAAGGGGAAAGAUUUAUCGGCGAUGGAUGGGCCCGCGGCUGAUUAGCUAGUUGGUGAGGUAACGGCUCACCAAGGCGACGAUCAGUAGCUGGUCUGAGAGGACGACCAGCCACACUGGGACUGAGACACGGCCCAGACUCCUACGGGAGGCAGCAGUGGGGAAUAUUGGACAAUGGGCGCAAGCCUGAUCCAGCCAUGCCGCGUGAGUGACGAAGGUCUUCGGAUUGUAAAGCUCUUUUGGCGGGGACGAUAAUGACGGUACCCGCAGAAUAAGCCCCGGCUAACUUCGUGCCAGCAGCCGCGGUAAU
rnacentral:rRNA from 1 species